GAUUACGGUGGCGGCCUAA
rnacentral:siRNA from 1 species